GUGCUCCCUUCGGCAGCACAUAUAUAAAUAUUGGGAUGACAGAGUAAGAUUAGCGUGUCCGCUGCAGCAGGAUGAAGCACAAAUACAUCAAGCAUCCCCUAGUGUU